rnacentral:rRNA from 1 species
CUUGGUCAUUUAGAGGAAGUAAAAGUCGUAACAAGGUCUCCGUUGGUGAACCAGCGGAGGGAUCAUUACCGAGUUUACAACUCCCAAACCCCUGUGAACAUACCUUUAUGUUGCCUCGGCGGAUCAGCCCGCGCCCCGUAAAACGGGACGGCCCGCCGCAGGAACCACAAAACUCUGAUUUUAGUGUAACUUCUGAGUCUAAAAAACAAAUAAAUCAAAACUUUCAACAACGGAUCUCUUGGUUCUGGCAUCGAUGAAGAACGCAGCAAAAUGCGAUAAGUAAUGUGAAUUGCAGAAUUCAGUGAAUCAUCGAAUCUUUGAACGCACAUUGCGCCCGCCAGUAUUCUGGCGGGCAUGCCUGUUCGAGCGUCAUUUCAACCCUCAAGCCCCCGGGUUUGGUGUUGGGGAUCGGGCUGUACUCCAGCCCGGCCCCGAAAUCUAGUGGCGGUCUCGCUGCAGCCUCCGUUGCGUAGUAGCUAACACCUCGCAACUGGAACGCGGCGCGGCCAAGCCGUUAAACCCCCAACUUCUGAAUGUUGACCUCGGAUCAGGUAGGAAUACCCGCUGAACUUAAGCAUAUCAAUAAGCGGAGGA